UGGACAAUGGAGCGCGGGGUAAAACGCGGCGCGGAGCCGCUGGAGCGGGGCCGGGGUCCUGAGGUGCCCCCGCCGCGGCACCUCGAUUUUGGGGUGCCUCGCGACUAAAGCCUUCUGUGGAGAUUUUAAACCUUACUCAGGCUAGGCACCUGCGGUUAGCUCCCUGUUUCAAGCGUCCCUCCUUGCUUUUCUUCUGGUGAGGAGGGGCUCCCCUUGCGGGCCUCGCCAGGCGGCAGGGUGCCCGCGAGGAAGGGGGAAAAGGGUUUAGUUUAGCGCAGAGGAAGCUGUUUCAUUUCCACGUAAAAACUCCGAUAUUUUUUAAUAUGCUACAGGAGAGCAGUGGGGGUGUGCUCCCGUACCGUGGAGCAGAAACACCAUGGCACGAAUAAAGCUAGGCCCUGGCUGCCGCGCUUGCUCAUGUAAAUAUGUGGCCAGGGACAGAGAAAGGCAGCCAGCGCCUGGCCCCGAAGCAGGAGCAGCCCCUCACGGCAGGGAGAGAAGCAAACAGGAAAGCAGAGAGCUGAAGUGAAGGAGAAAGUUGGACAGACCCAGAGAUCCGAGUACUGCAGACAAACUCUCCACCUGAGGUACCAUGGAGGCUGUGCUGCAUCUGUAGCACCUUCGUCUGGCCACGAGACACCCAUAUGUGCAAGAGCUGCCCUUAUGUGCCCUUAUGUGUAGUUACAUACAGAAACUGGAGCGCUUGGCUACACGCACAGGAGAGGGGAGAAAAAAAGAAGUGAUCCUCCCCGUCGGGGAAUCGAACCCCGGUCUCCCGCGUGACAGGCGGGGAUACUCACCACUAUACUAACGAGGACGGACUGCACGCGGGGUCCCGCCGCCGCCGCCUAGCCGCGC